CCUACGGGAUGCAGCAGUGAGGAAUAUUGGUCAAUGGGCGGAAGCCUGAACCAGCCAAGUCGCGUGAGGGAUUAAGGCCCUGCGGGUCGUAAACCUCUUUUGCCGGGGAGCAGAGGUCCGGACGUGUCCGGGCCGGGAGAGUACCCGGAGAAAAAGCCUCGGCUAACUCCGUGCCAGCAGCCGCGGUAAUCCGGAGGAUGCGAGCGUUCUCCGGAUUUAUUGGGUUUAAAGGGUGCGUAGGCGGGCAUUUGAGCCGGCGGUCAAAUGUCGGGGCUCAACCCCGGCCGGCCGUCGGAACUGGGGGCCUUGAGUGGGCGAGAAGUAUGCGGAAUGCGUGGUGUAGCGGUGAAAUGCAUAGAUAUCACGCAGAACCCCGAUUGCGAAGGCAGCAUACCGGGGCCCGACUGACGCUGAGGCACGAAAGUGCGGGUAUCGAACAGGAUUAGAUACCCUUGUAGUC
rnacentral:rRNA from 1 species